rnacentral:rRNA from 1 species
GGCGUAAAGCGCGCGUAGGUGGCCAAUUAAGUCAAUGUGAAAUCCCGAGCUUAAAUAGGGAAUUGCAUUCGAUACUGGUUGGCUAGAGUAUGGGAGAGGAUGGUAGAAUUCCAGGUGUAGCGGUGAAAUGCGUAGAGAUCUGGAGGAAUACCGAUGGCGAAGGCAGCCAUCUGGCCUAAUACUGACACUGAGGUGCGAAAGCAUGGGGAGCAAACAGGAUUAGAUACCCUGGUAGUCCAUGCCGUAAACGAUGUCUACUAGCCGUUGGGGCCUUUGAGGCUUUAGUGGCGCAGCUAACGCGAUAAGUAGACCGCCUGGGGAGUACGGUCGCAAGACUAAAACUCAAAUGANUNGACGGGGGCCCGCACAAGCGGUGGAGCAUGUGGUUUA